GACGAACGCUGGCGGCGUGCUUAACACAUGCAAGUCGAACGAUGAAGCUGGAGCUUGCUCCGGUGGAUUAGUGGCGAACGGGUGGGUAACACGUGAGCAAUCUGCCCUUGACUCUGGGAUAACUGCGGGUAACUGUAGCUAAUACCGGAUACUUUCACUGGAAGGCAUCUUCUGGUGAAGAAAGAAUUUCGGUCAAGGAUGAGCUCGCGGCCUAUCAGCUUGUUGGUGAGGUAACAGCUCACCAAGGCGACGACGGGUAGCCGGCCUGAGAGGGUGACCGGCCACACUGGGACUGAGACACGGCCCAGACUCCUACGGGAGGCAGCAGUGGGGAAUAUUGCACAAUGGGCGCAAGCCUGAUGCAGCAACGCCGCGUGAGGGAUGAAGGCCUUCGGGUUGUAAACCUCUUUUAGCUGGGAAGAAGCGAAAGUGACGGUACCUGCAGAAAAAGCACCGGCUAACUACGUGCCAGCCGCCGCGGUAA
rnacentral:rRNA from 1 species